AGUGAACGCUGGCGGUAGGCCUAACACAUGCAAGUCGAACGGCAGCACAGUAAGAGCUUGCUCUUACGGGUGGCGAGUGGCGGACGGGUGAGGAAUACAUCGGAAUCUACUUUUUCGUGGGGGAUAACGUAGGGAAACUUACGCUAAUACCGCAUACGACCUACGGGUGAAAGCAGGGGAUCUUCGGACCUUGCGCGAUUGAAUGAGCCGAUGUCGGAUUAGCUAGUUGGCGGGGUAAAGGCCCACCAAGGCGACGAUCCGUAGCUGGUCUGAGAGGAUGAUCAGCCACGCUGGAACUGAGACACGGUCCAGACUCCUACGGGAGGCAGCAGUGGGGAAUAUUGGACAAUGGGCGCAAGCCUGAUCCAGCCAUACCGCGUGGGUGGAGAAGGCCUUCGGGUUGUAAAGCCCUUUUGUUGGGAAAGAAAAGCAGCAGGUUAAUACCCCGCUGUUCUGACGGUACCCAAAGAAUAAGCACCGGCUAACUUCGUG
rnacentral:rRNA from 1 species